UGACCUCAAAUCGGGUG
rnacentral:rRNA from 2 species